GGUGCUGAAGGAGAGAUUAGACGU
rnacentral:siRNA from 1 species